UCAACCUUGAAGAGUCUACAAAAAGGUGGGAAAAGCAUCCGACUUCUUAGGUGAGAUCAUCCUUCGUAGUCUUUCAUUCAGUAGAGGUAGAUCAAUUCAAGCUUCGGUUUACCUUUCCGCAAGCGUAUCUCUCCUUUUCAAGAGUCCAAAAAAAAAAUUAGGGAUUUGGGACUCUUCGGUUCCGCUGCAAGCUAGCAAUCACAAUUUUUGGAUCGGCUGAAAGGGAGAACUGCAGAGGACUUACCUAGAUAUUGGUGGGGUGAAAGGCACUGUUGAUUCUAAGAAGGUUGGGAACAUUCUCAGCUUGGUCUUUGUGCAGUUUGUGUUCAUAGUUUGGAAUAUGGCAAAGUCUUAAACAUCCCUUCUUUGUUUUUGUUUUUUCUGAGUUUGAUGAUGGGUAGCAGAGUGACUGGAGUGAGGGAAGACCAGAGGAGGAAAAAACAUUGGCCUUGAGACCUGUGGGAGCUGGGAGUUGGGACUUGAAUUGCUAGAGUCCAGGUCUGCUUGCGUCUGUGUGUGUUUUUGGUGGGUUUUGCCUUGUUACUUGAAAUGAUCUGUUAUUCACUACUUCUUUUUUAAUCCGUUUCUACCUUGUUGGCUUCUAUUUUCCUCAUUUGAGAUUGGGUUUUUUAUAUUUUUAUUUAUUUAUUGGGUUUCUUUUUUAUAUUUUUAAGCUGAUGAUGAGGAGUGUGAUUGUUUAGUCAAUCUGUUAUGGGUUUCUAUAGUUUAAGUGGAUUUCUGUUUCAUCUCUGACAAUCCAAAUCUUGGAAGUUUAAAUGGGAAAGCAAAUAAAAAUUGGCACUGAACCUAUUUUAU